rnacentral:rRNA from 1 species
UACGGGGGGGGCAAGCGUUGUUCGGAAUUACUGGGCGUAAAGGGCUCGUAGGCGGCCAACUAAGUCAGACGUGAAGUCCCCCGGCUUAACCAGGGAACUGCGUCUGAUACUGGAUGGCUUGAGUUUGGGAGAGGGAUGCGGAAUUCCAGGUGUAGCGGUGAAAUGCGCAGAUAUCCGGAGGAACACCGGUGGCGAAGGCGGCUUCCUGGACCGACACUGACGCUGAGGCGCGAAAGCUAGGGGAGCAAACGGG